rnacentral:rRNA from 1 species
UACGUAGGGUGCAAGCGUUAAUCGGAAUUACUGGGCGUAAAGCGUGCGCAGGCGGUUGUGCAAGACAGAUGUGAAAUCCCCGGGCUCAACCUGGGAACUGCAUUUGUGACUGCACGGCUGGAGUGCGGCAGAGGGGGGAUGGAAUUCCGCGUGUAGCAGUGAAAUGCGUAGAUAUGCGGAGGAACACCGAUGGCGAAGGCAAUCCCCUGGGCCUGCACUGGACGCUCAUGCACGAAAGCGUGGGGAGCAAACAGG